rnacentral:rRNA from 1 species
CUACGGGGUGCAGCAGUGAGGAAUAUUGCACAAUGGGGGGAACCCUGAUGCAGCAACGCCGCGUGGAGGAUGACGCAUUUCGGUGUGUAAACUCCUUUUAUAUGUCAAGAAAAUGACGGUAGCAUAUGAAUAAGCGCCGGCUAACUCCGUGCCAGCAGCCGCGGUAAUACGGAGGGUGCAAGCGUUACUCGGAAUCACUGGGCGUAAAGGACGCGUAGGCGGGUUGGAAAGUCAGGUGUGAAAUCCUACAGCUUAACUGUAGAACUGCACUUGAAACUUCUAAUCUAGAGUAUGGGAGGGGGGGAUGGAAUUAGUGGUGUAGGGGUAAAAUCCGUAGAUAUCACUAGGAAUACCUAAAGCGAAGGCGAUCUCCUGGAACAUUACUGACGCUAAGGCGUGAAAGCGUGGGGAGCAAACAGGAUUAGAUACCCCAGUAGUC